GGCUCAGUAAUCAGCAUAAAUAAUAUCGGAAAUUUGGUGAGAUUAACUGGCUGGAAUACCCUUUUUUCCGUCAAUAAUAAGCAGGUGAACUACUUUGUGUUUGUACAUGCAUGUGCUUGUGUAUAUACUAUAACUUAGAGACAUUUCAGAAAUACCAAUAUAUGGUCUUACUCAUGCUGUAUUGUGAAGAUUAGAUGAUUUCAGUAUAAACUGGGGCUUCCUGUGGAUAUUCUCUUGAUAUUCUUGUUUAAUUGACUCAAUUUUUAAGCUUAUAACAAGAAUGACAACGAGAAGCAAAUUGUCCGGCUUAUGAUCAUCUGUCAUUGACUUGUUGCUACCGGAAAGAAAUUUCUUGCAAUGAGUUGCCAAUGUCUCUGAGUUCUUCAUAUCUCCUGUGCAUUAACAUCUCUUCGAGUUGGAUCUGAAAAUAAUUAAAUUUGACAACGUAACAUUUUUGACGAGAUACUUGAGAUUCUUGUGUUUUGCAUUAUUGAGCAGGUGUAUAAAAAGUAAAUUUUGAUUUAACUUUUUCAAGUUGGAUCUUUUAGUUUUUGAAUUUCUAAUUCUUGAAAUAAAAAUGAUUAAAAAUAAAUUCAUUUUGUACACAAUUAAUUUGUGUGACAUUAUAAAUAAGUUUCAUGUUAAGUAUAUUCUUUUGCAUAUAGGUGGAAAAGGAUGAAAACAAUUAUGGGCGAAGAGAAUUCUUAAAUUAAGUAGAGUUAUAGACUUAUAGUGGAUAUCUUGGGCACAUUCCAAAUAAAUUACAUCCGAUUUUGACACAGAAAGCCUUCUAACAUGAAUCUGUAAAUCUCAUAGUAAAUUUAAUGAUUUGAAAUGUGGUUGAAACCAUUUUAGUUGUAAGUAAACGUGAGUGGACUUGAAAUUCAUUUAUUGGACAUAUCAAUAUCAAAGAUGAUGCCAACCCCGUAGCAAUGGAAACUACGAAACCCACAACGAGAUUGAUGUGGAACCCAAGAACGCUAAUACUAACUCGAUUUUGGAUUUUGAACCCCAAGAAUUGAACCAAGAAACCCUAAAUUAGCGAAAAACCUAAAACCCCUUGAUUACAAUUAAAAGAACCCACGAUCCGAUUGUUUAAAACGCUACAAGAAAUUGAAUCUUGAUAAGUUCCAAGAUUGUUCAAGAAGAACAAGAAAUUGAAAGAACAAAUUCUCUUUCUAUAAUAUUAAGCAAAAGUCAAAAGUCUUUACAAUGAAAAAUAUUCUCCUAUUUAUACUAAUGAGUAAAAACGUCCAAAAUUUAUCAAAUUAUGGUAAUAAUUUGAUUUCAUAAGAAUUCUAUCGAAACUAGAAAAUUCGGUCAAAAUUAGAAAAUUCGCCAAUUUUUUUGGUUUGUGCGGCCGCAUGGUGUAUUUCCAUGCGGUCGCAUGGUUCAACAAGAAUUGGUGUUUUGAUUUUCGAUAUGCCACCGUGCAGCCGCAUGGGGUUUUGCUUGUGCGGCCUGAUCCAAGUUGAUUCGGCCUUCGACCCGAACAUGAAAGUUGCUCCAUUUUGAGUCUCGAACAUAAUUUCAUCAAUGGUUUCUUGAACGAGCAAUCCCAUCGCUUGUUUCACUUGCUUUGCCCUUGAUCGCGUCAUUGGUUCGCCAUCGAUUAUCAACGAGUCUCCUCUCGCACUUGCCUUCGUUGGGCUCGACUCCUGGAUCAUAUCAUCCCCUCCCUCUUCAAAAGGAUUCGUCCUCGAAUCUGAACCUGCAUCAAACAGAGAGAGAUCAGAUACAUUAAAAGUAGCGGAAACAUUAUACUCACCAGGUAAAUCCACUUUGUAAUCACUAAUGCCACAGUACUUAACGUGCAUUUGUGGAGGGUGGAAUGAAAGAAUUUUUUUUUUAACUUCAACUUAAAUUUCAAUUAUCCCUUCUACUUUCCUUUCAAAAUAAAGAACAAAAUCUCCUUUUCUUCUCUUUGUUAUUAGAGAUUUGAAAGUAACCUUUCUAUUGGUUCCAAGAAUUCCGUCACACUCUCAAGUUUCUUCACCUAGGAUUUUUUUAUUUUUAUUUGUUAUUAUUUUUUUUUUGUGUCACUGGUAAUGACGAUAUAGUGUAUGUAUAGGUCACAAACUCGAGUCAAAGAUAAUAUGAUAUUAUAAUUCAGAAUUGUCAUACUGAAAUGGAAGUCGACUUGUACAAAGAAUGUUAAAAAGGAAAGUCUUUUGACAAAAGCUAUUUGAACCCGGCUCAGUAAUCAGCAUAAAUAAUAUCGGAAAUUUGGUGAGAUUAACUGGCUGGAAUACCCUUUUUUCCGUCAAUAAUAAGCAGGUGAACUACUUUGUGUUUGUACAUGCAUGUGCUUGUGUAUAUACUAUAACUUAGAGACAUUUCAGAAAUACCAAUAUAUGGUCUUACUCAUGCUGUAUUGUGAAGAUUAGAUGAUUUCAGUAUAAACUGGGGCUUCCUGUG
rnacentral:lncRNA from 1 species